rnacentral:rRNA from 1 species
UACGGAGGGUGCAAGCGUUAUCCGGAUUCACUGGGUUUAAAGGGUGCGUAGGCGGGCAGGUAAGUCCGUGGUGAAAUCUCUGAGCUUAACUCAGAAACUGCCAUGGAUACUAUUUGUCUUGAAUAUUGUGGAGGCAAGCGGAAUAUGUCAUGUAGCGGUGAAAUGCGCAGAUAUCAGGAAGAACACCCGUGGCUAAGGCGGCUCUCUAGUACGGUACUGACGCUGAGACGCGAAAGCGUGGGGAGCGAACAGG